UACGUAGGGGGCAAGCGUUGUCCGGAAUCAUUGGGCGUAAAGAGCGUGUAGGCGGUCCGGUCAGUCGGUUGUGAAAGUCAAGGGCUCAACCCUUGAAUGCCGGCCGAUACUGCCGGGCUAGAGUCCGGAAGAGGUGAGUGGAAUUCCUGGUGUAGCGGUGAAAUGCGCAGAUAUCAGGAGGAACACCGAUGGCGAAGGCAGCUCCCUGGGACGGUACUGACGCUGAGACGCGAAAGCGUGGGGAGCAAACAGG
rnacentral:rRNA from 1 species